AGCCAUUUGUAUAAACAGGCCCCGUGAUCCUACUAGACCCUAAAGCCACUUUGCACUUGUCUUUCCUCAUCAGCACCCACUCUUCCUCUUUUAGUCUCUGCUGCUGCCACUAACCACUGCUCAGCUCACGGCCUUCUUCCUCUUCCCAGUGCCCACGACCUCCUGAGACUCUCCACUUCUCACAAGCCACCAGCCCAUGUAAAGAUGGCUUUCAGCUGUUUCCUCAAGACUCCUGGUAACCUCUUGAAAAAGCCGUAUUUAUUGUAUGUGUGUUUUAACAUUAUAAAUGUAAUCUGCAUUUGAUGCACAAAACCCAGAAGAGUAAAAAAGAAGCGAAAACUCGUGACAGUCCCACUACCAAGGACACGCUCAUUGGCAAAACCCAACCAGAAGCCAGAGCAGAGAGCCUGGGCACUGUGUCCUAUAGAGGUUACAGAUCCAAGUUCACAGACCAAGGUCGAGAGACGUGGAGAAUGGGUCUCAUGGCAAGCAGAAGCAGAGAGAAUUAGCCAGGAUAAAGACGAGAAGAAAAUUAAAAAUCCUUCGGAAGUCCACCCUCCAGAGCUCUCUGACGCAGUGGAGACAUGGAGAAUGUAGAAAGAACGGUGCCCUCGUGUGCCUGCCUAGGGGCUGUGCCAUCUGCAGGCUGUGACUGUCGUGUCAUAUCUGUGAAGACUCCCGUCCUGGGCUGCUGUGGAGCCUCAUUCUUCCCCACCCCCGUUUCCCAGGACAUGAAGAGAGGGGUGCCCAUGGACGCAGCACUCUGGAUGGUGUCCUGAUAUUUCGGACAGACAAUUGCUUGUUCAUGUUCACUGAGGAAGAGGAAGUCGAGUAUUGUGUAAUUAAACGGAAUCAGGAGAAUUUACGCUGAUAUUUGGUAAGCCAUUUCCUCUUCUUACUACAAGUGUCUGAUACAUGCUUUUCCCGAUAAGUAGCAGAACUGCUGUUCUCAUCAGAAAUUUCGGAGCUGAAAUAGAAAUCUCUGAGGGGCUGUUUGACUUUGAGGUGGCGUUUUUGUAAGGAUUUUUUGGAAACAAGGGGCAGUUGUGAAUUUAGAUCUUCGAGGACUGUGCUAUUACCUCUGACGAGAUGAAUGUUCAGGCAUGUGCAAACAAGUCUCUUGGUGUUUGGCCCAGAAAGCUCGAUUGUUUCCCCCUCUGGCCUGCACUUUCUGUGUGAGAGUGGACCCUUGCAGUAGAGCGGGAGUAGGACAGUGAUCUAGAGAUCUGCACGCUUACCCAAAAGCCCAGCCAGCUUCUCCUGAGUCAGGAAGAGGCCGACUGCACUCCUCAAGAAGUCCCAAUGUAGAAGCAGCUUUCAAAGGUCCCUUUCCCCACCCCUCCCCCUCUCUGCGGUGCUUGCCCUCAGCCAAAUGCAUGGCUGUGCGCUCCUAAAGAUCUCAGGACACCUUCCAGCAGCUUUUGCAACCCGUC